rnacentral:rRNA from 1 species
AGUGAACGCUGGCGGUAGGCCUAACACAUGCAAGUCGAACGGCAGCACAGUAAGAGCUUGCUCUUACGGGUGGCGAGUGGCGGACGGGUGAGGAAUACAUCGGAAUCUACUUUUUCGUGGGGGAUAACGUAGGGAAACUUACGCUAAUACCGCAUACGACCUACGGGUGAAAGCAGGGGAUCUUCGGACCUUGCGCGAUUGAAUGAGCCGAUGUCGGAUUAGCUAGUUGGCGGGGUAAAGGCCCACCAAGGCGACGAUCCGUAGCUGGUCUGAGAGGAUGAGCAGCCACACUGGGACUGAGACACGGUCCAGACGCCUACGGGAGGCAGCAGUGGGGAAUGUUGGACAAUGGGGGCAAGCCUGAUCCAGCCAUACCGCGUGGGUGAAGAAGGCCUUCGGGUUGUAAAGCCCUUUUGUUGGGAAAGAAAAGCAGCGGGUUAAUACCGCGCUGUUCUGACGGUACCCGAAGAAGAAGCACCGGCUAACUUCGUG